rnacentral:rRNA from 1 species
GAGUUUGAUCGUGGCUCAGAUUGAACGCUGGCGGCAUGCCUUACACAUGCAAGUCGAACGGCAGCACGGGAGCUUGCUCCUGGUGGCGAGUGGCGAACGGGUGAGUAAUGCAUCGGAACGUAUCCUGGAGUGGGGGAUAACGUAGCGAAAGUUACGCUAAUACCGCAUAUUCUGUGAGCAGGAAAGCGGGGGACCUUCGGGCCUCGCGCUCUUGGAGCGGCCGAUGUCGGAUUAGCUAGUUGGUGAGGUAAAGGCUCACCAAGGCGACGAUCCGUAGCAGGUCUGAGAGGAUGAUCUGCCACACUGGAACUGAGACACGGUCCAGACUCCUACGGGAGGCAGCAGUGGGAUUUUGGACAAUGGGGCAACCCUGAUCCAGCCAUGCCGCGUGAGUGAAGAAGGCCUUCGGUUGUAAGUACGUA